UGCAGUCGACGGUGAAGAGGAGCUUGCUCCUUGGAUCAGUGGCGAACGGGUGAGUAACACGUGAGCAAUCUGCCCUUGACUCUGGGAUAACUGCGGGAAACUGUAGCUAAUACCGGAUAUUACCUUGGAAGGCAUCUUCUGGGGUGGAAAGAAUUUUGGUCAAGGAUGAGCUCGCGGCCUAUCAGCUAGUUGGUGAGGUAAUGGCUCACCAAGGCGACGACGGGUAGCCGGCCUGAGAGGGUGACCGGCCACACUGGGACUGAGACACGGCCCAGACUCCUACGGGAGGCAGCAGUGGGGAAUAUUGCACAAUGGGCGCAAGCCUGAUGCAGCAACGCCGCGUGAGGGACGACGGCCUUCGGGUUGUAAACCUCUUUUAGUAGGGAAGAAGCGACUGGGUUUUCCUGGGAGUGACGGUACCUGCAGAAAAAGCACCGGCUAACUACGUGCCAGCAGCCGCGGUAAUACGUAGGGUGCAAGCGUUGUCCGGAAUUAUUGGGCGUAAAGAGCUCGUAGGCGGUUUGUCGCGUCUGCUGUGAAAACCCGAGGCUCAACCUCGGGCCUGCAGUGGGUACGGGCAGACUAGAGUGCGGUAGGGGAGAUUGGAAUUCCUGGUGUAGCGGUGGAAUGCGCAGAUAUCAGGAGGAACACCAAUGGCGAAGGCAGAUCUCUGGGCCGUAACUGACGCUGAGGAGCGAAAGCAUGGGGA
rnacentral:rRNA from 1 species